UACGUAGGGUGCGAGCGUUGUCCGGAAUUAUUGGGCGUAAAGAGCUCGUAGGCGGUGUGUCACGUCGGCCGUGAAAACCUGGGGCUUAACUCUGGGCGUGCGGUCGAUACGGGCAUCACUAGAGUUCGGCAGGGGAGACUGGAAUUCCUGGUGUAGCGGUGAAAUGACGCAGAUAUCAGGAGGAACACCGGUGGCGAAGGCGGGUCUCUGGGCCGUAACUGACGCUGAGGAGCGAAAGCGUGGGGGAGCGAACAGG
rnacentral:rRNA from 1 species